rnacentral:rRNA from 1 species
GAGACACGCCCCAAACUCUUAUGGGAGGGUGCAGUAGGGAAUCUUCCACAAUGGGCGAAAGCCUGAUGGAGCAACGCCGCGUGUGUGAUGAAGGCUUUCGGGUCGUAAACGCAUCUGUUGUAUGGGAAGAACAGCUAGAAUAGGAAAUGAUUUUAGUUUGACGGUACCAUACCAGAAAGGGAGGGCUAAAUACGUGCCAGCAGCCGCGGUAAUACGUAUGUCCCGAGCGUUAUCCGGAUUUAUUGGGCGUAAAGCGAGCGCAGACGGUUUAUUAAGUCUGAUGUGAAAGCCCGGAGCUCAACUCCGGAAUGGCAUGGAAACUGG